CAGCCGCCGCGGUAAUACGGAGGGAGCUAGCGUUGUUCGGAAUUACUGGGCGUAAAGCGCACGUAGGCGGUUAUUCAAGUCAGAGGUGAAAGCCUGGGGCUCAACCCCGGAACUGCCUUUGAAACUAGAUGACUAGAAUCUUGGAGAGGUCAGUGGAAUUCCGAGUGUAGAGGUGAAAUUCGUAGAUAUUCGGAAGAACACCAGUGGCGAAGGCGACUGACUGGACAAGUAUUGACGCUGAGGUGCGAAAGCGUGGGGAGCAAACAGGAUUAGAGACCCCCGUAGUCCCUGUCUCUUAUAC
rnacentral:rRNA from 1 species